UACGUAGGGCGCAAGCGUUAUCCGGAAUUAUUGGGCGUAAAGAGCUCGUAGGCGGUUUGUCGCGUCUGCCGUGAAAAGUCCGGGGGCUCAACUCCGGAUCUGCGGUGGGUACGGGCAGACUAGAGUGAUGUAGGGGGAGACUGGAAUUCCUGGUGUAGCGGUGAAAUGCGCAGAUAUCAGGAGGAACACCGAUGGCGAAGGCAGGUCUCUGGGCAUUAACUGACGCUGAGGAGCGAAAGCAUGGGGAGCGAACAGG
rnacentral:rRNA from 1 species